CGAGCUCCGCCGAGCGCAGCAUCCCCGGCACGGCCGGGUGGGCUCGGGGUUCUGUGAGGCUUCCCCUCCUGUCCCUCUCUCUACCCGUCCUUCCUCCUGCCCGCAUUCCCCUCUGCCCCCCCAAACUCAGCUCCUUCCUGUCCUGUCCCUAGCCCGCUACUUCCUUCUGUUCCCCUUCUCUCUCCCUCCUCUGUCCACGGUCCCUCUUCUCCUUCUCUCGGGAUUUCCCUUCCCCUCCCGCUUUCCUCCCCAGUCCGACCUCCCUCCCUACCCUGCUAUCGCUCCUCUCUUCCUGUUCCCCCUUUCGUUCUUUCCCCGCGGCCGCGGGGCUCGGGGCGCCGGAGAAUAAAGCCCAGAGGGCCGGAGCCCGGCGCCCCUCGGCCCCUGCAGGAGUCCCCGCACGGGGCCGGAGCUCUCGGCGGAUCCCCCCGUGCCGCUCAGACACAGCGCCCGACACUGCCGGACCUGCGGCUCUCCCGACAUGCCGCUGAGAGCGGCCCCGCUCUGUGCCGAGCCGUCCCUGCCGCUCCCUGUCUCUGCCCCUCGGGGUGACAGCGAGGCUGGGGAGGAACUUCAGCCCUUCUGGGGGCUGCCCCCCCUUUCUUGGUGCGGCGGAGUCCCUUUCUGGGGGGAUGUGCGUGUGGAAAGGGCUUGAAGGAAGCGCUGCGCUGCUCUCCAGGGCAGUUUGACUCGUUCGGUGCCUUCUUUGGGGGUGGGGAAAGGGGGGUCAAGACUCGGGGCUCUGAUGUCAUUUGGGGCACCCCAAGGUCCCGAGGAGAGGGAGCCACACGGCGGUGGGGGAGCAGGUGGGUGGCGAAUGAGCGGGGUCAUGCUGGGUGCCGUCCUCCAGAGGGACCCAAAGCUGCCACAAAAUUCACGGGGAGGGGUGGGUGUAGAAUACUAAAACAUGACAAGUUUUUCGUGUUUAUAGGUAUUGCUAAAGAAUAGUAAUUUGUCUCUAAAUUCAUUUGGGAAGAAUCACAGAGCAGCCCCGAGUGUGAGCUGUGAGGAUGAUGACUGGGGCUGUUUUAGGGGGAGGGUUUGUGUCAGCUCCCUUUUGCCUGGAGCUGCUGAGUAGAAGGGUUUAUGGGGGGCUCCCGGGGGUGUCUCGGGGAAGGACAGUUAGAGCUUCUCCGAGGGUCUCGGGGAGCACCUGGAUACGCAAUUGGAUGCGUGGGGCAUUGCUUAAGGGAGGUGGCGAGGGCCAAAGCUUCGUGCUGGGAGGCAGCAGCUGAACAGGUGAGUUCGUGUGGAUUUGUAGUGGGGACUUCUUUCCGUUUUCCAUUUCAUCUUGCCAAUCCCUCCCCGGUGCCCCCAGAAAAAAAAAAAAGGGGGGGAUUGCGAGGACAAUAGAAAUAUGAAGUGUGGGAGGCAAGUUCUCUUCCAUUAUUGCCUGUGUUUGAAUAGGAUGGGAUCCCCCUUCACUUGUGGUUUUAGGGUAUUGAUUUAAGGAAUACCUGCUUUUCCCGGGUGUUAGGGGUAUCAGAGGGGUGAAAGGGAAUCCCUGUGUUCUAUUUUAAAGGUUUAAAGGAAAGGGAAGAAAUACUGUCAUAUUAUGGGUUUGAUUUGGAGUUUGCCCCCCCCCCCCCAUUUUAGUCAUCCUAAGGUUUAAAUUGAGGGGGCAGCCAUGUUGUCCCUCCUUUUAAAGGGUUUGAAUUGAGGUAAAAGCCCCCUCUUGCCAUCAUUUGAAGGAUUUCAUUUGCGGAAAACCCCUUUUUUCUGCUAUUAUAGGCUGUUAUAGAUACAAAUUAUAAUAUUGGCUUUUCAGAAAUAUUAAAAUGGAUUUUAUAUGCAUGAUGUUAAAGUAAUUUUGCUAUAAAGAUAUAGUUUGUAUUUCUGCUGUUAAUUAAGCUUAGACAUAAUAGUGAAAUAGCUAUGCUUGUGUUAAAAUGCCUGCUUGGGUGGGAUAACACCCAAUGAACACAGGAUGAGGACACCUGCUACAGCUAUGCCAACUAACAGCACGCACCGAGAAGGAGCCGAAACCACAGCCAAGAAACACAUAUGCUCUAAUAAAGGCAGACCUGAGGAGGGGCCAUGUAAAAUAGUUCCUGGAAAAUAUAAACUACUUUAUGGAUAUGCAUAAGGACUAUUAAUAUGCAACAGGCUGAUGUAAGGGUAAAGGUAGUUGAGGGUAUCCCCAAAGGUAAGUGUGGUCUUGGCUGAGAGCCAAGAUGCAUCCUUUGCUCUAUGGUCCUUUUCUCCUAUUUUCCUUCAUUCAACUUAAUAAAUUUUUACAGGAGA